UGCAGUCGAACGCGAUUGGGACUUCGGUCCCAUGAAAGUGGCGCACGGGUGCGUAACGCGUAUGCAACCUACCUUAAUCAGGGGGAUAGCCCGAAGAAAUUCGGAUUAACACCGCAUAACAUAAUACUUUGGCAUCAAAGCAUUAUCAAAUAUUUAUAGGAUUAAGAUGGGCAUGCGUGACAUUAGUUAGUUGGUGAGGUAACGGCUCACCAAGACGACGAUGUCUAGGGGAUCUGAGAGGAUGACCCCCCACACUGGUACUGAGACACGGACCAGACUCCUACGGGAGGCAGCAGUAAGGAAUAUUGGUCAAUGGGGGCAACCCUGAACCAGCCAUGCCGCGUGCAGGAAGACUGCCCUAUGGGUUGUAAACUGCUUUUGUCGGGGAAUAAACCUCAUCUCGUGAGAUGAGCUGAAUGUACUCGAAGAAUAAGGAUCGGCUAACUCCGUGCCAGCAGCCGCGGUAAUACGGAGGAUCCAAGCGUUAUCCGGAUUUAUUGGGUUUAAAGGGUGCGUAGGCGGCUUUUUAAGUCAGGGGUGAAAGACGGUGGCUCAACCAUCGCAGUGCCUUUGAUACUGAAGAGCUUGAAUAGACCUGAGGUAGGCGGAAUGUGACAAGUAGCGGUGAAAUGCAUAGAUAUGUCACAGAACACCAAUUGCGAAGGCAGCUUACUAAAGUCUAAUUGACGCUGAGGCACGAAAGCGUGGGGAUCAAACAGGAUUAGAUACCCUGGUAGUCCACGCCCUAAACGAUGAACACUCGAUGUUAGCGAUAUACAGUUAGCGUCUAAGCGAAAGCGUUAAGUGUUCCACCUGGGGAGUACGCCCGCAAGGGUGAAACUCAAAGGAAUUGACGGGGGCCCGCACAAGCGGAGGAGCAUGUGGUUUAAUUCGAUGAUACGCGAGGAACCUUACCCGGGCUUGAAAGUUACUGAAUGAUCCAGAGACGGAUCAGUCCUUCGGGACAGGAAACUAGGUGCUGCAUGGCUGUCGUCAGCUCGUGCCGUGAGGUGUUGGGUUAAGUCCCGCAACGAGCGCAACCCCUGUGAAUAGUUGCCAGCAUUUAAGGUGGGGACUCUAUUCAGACUGCCUGUGCAAACAGAGAGGAAGGAGGGGACGACGUCAAGUCAUCAUGGCCCUUACGUCCGGGGCUACACACGUGCUACAAUGGACAGUACAGAGGGCCGCUACUUAGUAAUAAGAUGCCAAUCUCAAAAAGCUGUUCACAGUUCGGAUUGAGGUCUGCAACUCGACCUCAUGAAGUUGGAUUCGCUAGUAAUCGCGUAUCAGCAAUGACGCGGUGAAUACGUUCCCGGGCCUUGUACACACCGCCCGUCAAGCCAUGAAAGCUGGGGGUACCUGAAGUACGUAACCGUAAGGAGC
rnacentral:rRNA from 1 species